rnacentral:rRNA from 1 species
UACGGAGGAUGCAAGCGUUAUCCGGAAUGAUUGGGCGUAAAGCGUCCGCAGGUGGCUGUGUAAGUCUGCUGUUAAAGAGUGAGGCUCAACCUCAUAAAAGCAGUGGAAACUACACGGCUAGAGUGCGUUCGGGGCAGAGGGAAUUCCUGGUGUAGCGGUGAAAUGCGUAGAUAUCAGGAAGAACACCGGUGGCAAAGGCGCUCUGCUAGGCCGCAACUGACACUGAGGGACGAAAGCGUGGGGAGCGAACAGG